CAGCUGGAACACUUUAAUGUCAUUUCUCUUUUCUCUGAAUCGUCACAGCCAUUAAAAGCAGAGCUAUUCAUAUCUUUAGAAAAUCUUUAGGAUUCUGCCUACUAUAUGUAUCCAAGGCCAAAUCCUAUCAUCAGUCUGAACAUCUUUGCCUUAACCUCUCCAUCUCUUGUUGAACCUGCUCUGAAAUGCCGUUCUCUAGGUAAUAACCCACACCUUCCUUCAACGAUUCCUUUGCUAUAACAUGCGUAAGAAUGUUUUCUAUUUUUGGGGUAAAAUGAAAGCCUAUUUCUUGAAAAAAUGGCUUCGCAUCUUGAAUAUCUCUUACAAUCCCUCCUAUCGAUUUGUCCCUUUCCGUGCUCUGACAUUUUUUAAUAACGGUCAUUGAAUCUCCAAAUAUACCACAUGCAUAGAGGCUCAAUGAAAUCCCUAAUCUUACUAUUUCUAAUCUGGCAUAUGCCUCUGCCGCAAACGAUUUGGAAGAAUACUGGUCAAAAGCCGCAUCGAAGUGAAUGCUUACGUUUGUCCUUUGGUCAUCGUGAUUAUAGAGUCUGUCUGCUUCACAGAUACGUAGUUUUUCCUCUAACCCAUGCACUUCUGAGUUAUAACUUAUUAUCUGUCUUGAAAUGUCUCUGUUGUUUGAGAUUUUAUUUUCAUAAAUAAAUUUGUUUCUGUUUGACCAGAGAAGCCAGAGCCCACAGCAGAAAAGGCGACAAUGCUCAUUUGUCCCCUGAGUAAAGACCCAUGGCACUGUCGAAAAACAUGGUUGCUAUCUUCCUUUGUUUGUCUGUAUCUAGGUCACCCAACUUCAGCAAUCACUCUCUUCAGUUUGAGAUUAGUAAAAGUAGGGAUAUUGUUCCAAGAGAUCUUCCAUACUGUAAUUUUAAUUUUCGAGGGGAUAUGUAAAUUCCAUAAUUUUCUGUAGAAAUUUUUGUUUUCGGCCUGUAUAAUUUCGUCACUAGGAAUUCGAGUAGACUUCUGUAAUAGUUUGUAGGCACUUCGAACAGAAAAGAUUCCUGAUGGUUCUCCUCCCCAUGCUUGGAAAUCAUCAUGUAUCGAUCUUGCCAAAGGGAUUUGCAUAAUAUUUUUUGCAAUAUCAACACUAAAGGUAUUAACCAGAA